rnacentral:sRNA from 17 species
CCUGGAAGGUUCCGGACAGUUGCGGAUCGAUUCCCUCCACCACCACCACGAUCUCGCUCAUGGUCUUUUCGAUG